rnacentral:rRNA from 1 species
AGCUCGGCUCGACUCUCCCACCCAAUGUGUACCUACCUCUGUUGCUUUGGCGAGGCCGCGGUCCUCCGCACCGGCGCCCUUCGGGGGGGCUGGCCAGCGCCCGCCAGAGGACCAUAAAACUCCAGUCAGUGAACUUCGCAGUCUGAAAAACAAGUUAAUAACACUAAAACUUUCAACAACGGAUCUCUUGGUUCUGGCAUCGAUGAAGAACGCAGCGAAAUGCGAUAAGUAAUGUGAAUUGCAGAAUUCAGUGAAUCAUCGAAUCUUUGAACGCACAUUGCGCCCCUUGGUAUUCCGAGGGGCAUGCCUGUUCGAGCGUCAUUUCAACCCUCAAGCUCUGCUUGGUAUUGGGCUCCGUCCUCCACGGACGCGCCUUAAAGACCUCGGCGGUGGCGUCUUGCCUCAAGCGUAGUAGAAACACCUCGCUUUGGAGCGCACGGCUCGCCCGCCGGACGACCUUUGAUAUU